CUUUCCUCGCCACCUUGUAGAUCUCCCUGUUCGCUCUCCGUUCUUCCUUGCUUGUGCUCCCUUCCAACUUAGUAAAUGCCGCUUUCUUCACCUCCACUUUUCCUUCGACUACGUCGUUCUACCACCAGUCACCCUGAUGUCUGCCUGAAUAGCCCUUGGCUACCCUGAGCACAUCCCGUGCUACCUCCGUAACCAAUUUCGCCGUCUCUGACCACAUAGCGUCCGCUUUCCCAGAACUUCUCCAAGCUCCGCCCUUAGCUAACCUCCUCUCUAACUCCUGAGCUUUCUCCUUAGUCAAAAUACCCCAUCUAAUCCGCGGUUGACCCCAAGCACCCCUCAUCUUCC
rnacentral:lncRNA from 1 species